GACUGGGGAGGGGAGAGGAGACAGGGAUGGAGCAGAGCAAGGGAUGGGGCAAGCAACAAACUAUCACCCCCUUAUCAUGAGAAGAUCGAGAGAGUUGUGAGAGACCAGGGAUCCCUGUCGUCGUUGUUGUUCCUCCCUCCCUGCACUGCCUCUUCCCUGGCUCCCCUCCCAUCCCUCUCC
rnacentral:pre_miRNA from 2 species